ensembl:snRNA U5 U5 spliceosomal RNA
AUAUUCUGGUUUCUCUUCAAAUUGAUUACAUCUUUAACCUUUUACUAAAAAUUUCCAUUGAGAGGAACAAUUCUAUUUCUUAAAUCAAUUGUUUGAGGCUUCGUUUUACUAGGGCC